CCUACGGGGGGCAGCAGUGGGGGAUAUUGCACAAUGGGGGGAACCCUGAUGCAGCGACGCCGCGUGGGCGAUGGAGUACUUCGGUAUGUAAAGCCCUAUCAGCAGGGAAGAAAAUGACGGUACCUGACUAAGAAGCCCCGGCUAACUACGUGCCAGCAGCCGCGGUAAUACGUAGGGGGCAAGCGUUAUCCGGAUUUACUGGGUGUAAAGGGAGCGUAGACGGCAGCGCAAGUCUGGAGUGAAAUGCCGGGGCCCAACCCCGGAACUGCUUUGGAAACUGUAUGGCUGGAGUGCAGGAGAGGAAA
rnacentral:rRNA from 1 species